rnacentral:sRNA from 1 species
UCCAUAAACAUCGCGAUUUUUUUCACGG